CUGCAACUGGGGCCAUUUCAUCUCUUUCAAUGGCCCGGCAUCAUCAUCGCUGUAUGCAGGCCUGACCUCAGGCAGAAGGGAGUGAGGCAGCAUGACAUAGGAUGAAGCAGAAAGGCACUGGGGUGAGUGGGCCGGCGUCUGAAUGCCCACUCUCUAGCUGUGUGAUCUUAGGGAUCAUGACUGCUUCCCAGACCUUAGUCUCAGGAUGCCACACCGGAAGAGCUGGACCCCACAUUUGAAGACAGAUGUCCCUGGCGGUGCCCGCCUGCUCUGUAAAGAGCUAGUCCCAGGCUCCCAUUGUGACCUAGCACCUCAACCUCUCCUGACCCUUUUGCCUAGGCCAGAUCCUGAGAUCGGAGAGUACAUACAUCUCCCUGGGGCUUGCUUUCCUCUCCCAUAAAAUUUAGGAGUUGGGGAUGAUCUUAUCCCUCUACCUAGACUGUAGACUCCUGGGAGCGGGAGGCAAGGCACUCACAAGCAAGGGCAUCAGAGUGACAUCAAGACACAAACAGCCAUGGAAUCUUGGGAACAGAUCAAGGAGUCCACCUCUUAAAAUAUUGUAAAAAAUAAAAUCUGAGUACGAAUGUUGGUGAAAAGGACCAAGGAUGGAUCAAUAAACUCACCAAUUAGCAACAUACUUAUUUUUUUCCAUUAGCACUGGUCCAGGGUGGGCCCAAGAUUCUGCAUUUCUGAGAAGCUCCCAGCUGGGGCUGAUGUUGCUGGUCCAAAGACCAGAGUGAGUAGCAAGGACAUAAGAAUACUCAAUUGGAAGCUCUCUCC
rnacentral:lncRNA from 1 species